CCGAGAUAUGCCCUUCGGGGUAGACCUCCCACCCUGUGUAUACCUUACCUCUGUUGCUUUGGCGGGCCGCCUAGCUACCGGCUUCGGCUGGUAGGUGCCCGCCAGAGGACCCAAAACCCUGAAUAUUAGUGUCGUCUGAGUAAAAUUUUAAUAUUUA
rnacentral:misc_RNA from 1 species